rnacentral:rRNA from 1 species
GGUGAACGCUGGGCGGCGUGCCUAACACAUGCAAGUCGAGCGGUGCAGUUUGAAGCUUCGGUGGAAAGCUGCAUAGCGGCGGACGGGUGAGGAAACGUAGGAACGUGCCCCUUGGAGUUGGAUAGCCACGGGAAACUGUGGGUAAACCGACAUAGACUCGAGAGAGUAAAGGCCGAAAGGCGCCAAGGGAGCGGCCUGCGGCCCAUCAGGUAGUUGGUAGUGUAAAGGACGUACCAAGCCGACGACGGGUAGCCGGUCUGAGAGGAUGGCCGGCCACAAGGGCACUGAGAGACGGGCCCUACUCCUACGGGAGGCAGCAGUGGGGGAUUUUGGACAAUGGGCGAAAGCCUGAUCCAGCGACGCCGCGUGGAGGACGAAGCCCUUCGGGGUGUAAACUCCUUUUCUCAGGGAAAAAGGAUGAUGGUACCUGAGGAAUAAGCCCCGGCUAACUACGUG